UCUAGUCCUUCAUCCCAAAUGUACAACUUUUGGGUAGUGGGAUUCAUCCUAUGCAACUACAGACCAAAAUCACUUACAUGAUAUGGAGACACCUGAAGAUGUAGGUGCUAGGAGAUGAGAUAAAUCAUCCUAUAUUCCACCAGCUAUACAGGGAGAGGAGGGGAAAAAUCAUGUCCAGCUGUGCUCAGCACAGCUUUAAGGAUUUCACCUGAUCCUCCUCACCAGCGGCUAAAAAGUUAUUUAAGUUCAACACUAAGGAGUUUGGGUUUGCUGGCACAUGUACUUUCAGUCCAGGAAUGGAACUGCUGUUCAUGAGUUCACUGCCACCAUCAACUCCCAGAAAUCAAGCAAAAAGAAGCACUUAAACCUUUUGAUUCAAGCUGGAGAAAACACAGGGCUGUCCCAUCGUGCCUCUUUGAGGGAACGGUCUCUGAGGAGCUUGGUCAGCAGGGCAGAGAGGAAACCUUGUGGUUGACACACAGGUGGAAGAUGUGAGACACAACAUGAGGAAGUGCAAAGCUGACAUAGUCCUGGCUUGGAACAUCCCAUGUGUGUGAACCUCUUUCUGACAGUUUUGCUCUAAAACUCCAGGCUUGGAGCACCCCACAUGCCUGACUGUAUUGAACUUCUUCCUGCCAGAAUUCCUCUAGAACAUUUGGGGACUCCAGCUAAGCCAUCAUCAAGCAAGGGCCUUUGCU